rnacentral:rRNA from 1 species
CCUACGGGAGGCAGCAGUGAGGAAUAUUGGUCAAUGGUCGGGAGACUGAACCAGCCAAGCCGCGUGAGGGAUGAAGGUACAGAGUAUCGUAAACCUCUUUUGUCAGGGAACAAAGGCGGGGACGUGUCCCCGGAUGAGUGUACCUGAAGAAAAAGCAUCGGCUAACUCCGUGCCAACAGCCGCGGUAAUACGGAGGAUGCGAGCGUUAUCCGGAUUUCUUGGGUUUAAAGGGUGCGCAGGCGGUCUGGUAAGUCAGCAGUCAAAGGCCAGGGUUCAACCCCGGCACGCCCUUUGAAACUGGCGGUCUCGAGUUGGAGAGAGGUAUGCGGAAUGCGCGGUGUAGCGGUGGAAUGCAUAGAUAUCGCGCAGAACUCCGAUUGCGAAGGCAGCAUGCCGGCUCCACACUGACGCUGAGGCACGAAAGCGUGGGUAUCGAACAGGAUUAGAUACCCGGGUAGUC